AUCCAGCUAAUGAGUCCGAAAUAAGAUGAAACGCGUUUCCUGGAU
rfam:Schistosoma mattheei strain Denwood, Zambia genome assembly, scaffold: SMTD_scaffold0009251